rnacentral:rRNA from 1 species
AGAGUUUGAUUCUGGCUCAGGAUGAACGCUAGCUACAGGCUUAACACAUGCAAGUCGAGGGGCAGCAGGAAUCUAGCUUGCUAGAUUUGCUGGCGACCGGCGCACGGGUGAGUAACGCGUAUCCAACCUUCCCCAUAGUAGAGGAUAGCCCGGCGAAAGUCGGAUUAAUACUCUAUGUUGUAUUUUUGAGGACAUCUGACGAAUACCAAAGAUUGAUCGCUAUGGGAUGGGGAUGCGUCUGAUUAGGUUGUUGGCGGGGUAACGGCCCACCAAGCCGACGAUCAGUAGGGGUUCUGAGAGGAAGGUCCCCCACAUUGGUACUGAGACACGGACCAAACUCCUACGGGAGGCAGCAGUGAGGAAUAUUGGUCAAUGGACGAGAGUCUGAACCAGCCAAGUAGCCGUGCAGGACGACUGCCCUAUGGGUUGUAAACUGCUUUUAUAGGGGAAUAAAGUGAGGCACGUGUGCCUUUUUGUAUGUACCCUAUGAAUAAGGACCGGCUAAUUCCGUGCCAGCCGCCGC